GACGAACGCUGGCGGCGUGCUAAACACAUGCAAGUCGAACGGAAAGGCCCCUUUGGGGGUACUCGAGUGGCGAACGGGUGAGUAACACGUGAGUAACCUGCCCUUGACUUCGGGAUAACUUCAGGAAACUGGGGCUAAUACCGGAUAGGAAUCCUUGCUGCAUGGUGGGGGUUGGAAAGCUUCGGCGGUUUUGGAUGGACUCGCGGCUUAUCAGCUUGUUGGUGGGGUAGUGGCUUACCAAGGCUUUGACGGGUAGCCGGCCUGAGAGGGCGACCGGCCACAUUGGGACUGAGAUACGGCCCAGACUCCUACGGGAGGCAGCAGUGGGGAAUAUUGCACAAUGGGCGGAAGCCGGAUGCAGCAACGCCGCGUGCGGGAUGACGGCCUUCGGGUUGUAAACCGCUUUCAGCAGGGGCGAAGCUUGUGGUGACGGUACCUGCAGAAGAAGCACCGGCUAACUACGUG
rnacentral:rRNA from 1 species